GUCCACGCCGUAAACGAUGUCGAUUUGGAGGCUGUGUCCUUGAGACGUGGCUUCCGGAGCUAACGCGUUAAAUCGACCGCCUGGGGAGUACGGCCGCAAGGUUAAAACUUAAAUGAAUUGACGGGGCCCGCACAAGCGGUGGAGCAUGUGGUUUAAUUCGAUGCAACGCGAAGAACCUUACCUGGCCUUGACAUGUCUGGAAUCCUGUAGAGAUACUGGAGUGCCUUCGGGAAUCAGAACACAGGUGCUGCAUGGCUGUCGU
rnacentral:rRNA from 1 species